CAUUAAGAAGCUAUGAACCAGCGCUAGCCUUUUAAGCUAGAGAUAGAGGAGCACAACCCUCCUUAAUGG
rnacentral:tRNA from 1 species